rnacentral:rRNA from 1 species
GACAGAGGGGGCAAGCGUUGCUCGGAAUUACUGGGCGUAAAGGGCGCGUAGGCGGGAUGGCAAGUCGGUCGUGAAAUCCUUCGGCUCAACCGAAGAACGUCGAUCGAUACUGCUGUUCUUGAGGGUUGCAGAGGAGACUGGAAUUCCCGGUGUAGCGGUGAAAUGUGUAGAGGUCGGGAGGAACACCGGUGGCGAAGGCGGGUCUCUGGGCAAUUCCUGACGCUGAGGCGCGAAAGCGUGGGGAGCAAACGGG